rnacentral:ribozyme from 1 species
UUAUUUCGGUGUUUCUUUUUUUUUUGAUUUUUUUGUUUUCUUUUUUCGUCAUAUCCCUCUGAAU